UGGAUACUUUGUUUCAAAAAUCAUCCAGGUGU
rnacentral:piRNA from 1 species